rnacentral:rRNA from 1 species
UACAGAGGGGGCAAGCGUUAUUCGGAAUUAUUGGGCGUAAAGGGCGCGUAGGCGGCUUGGCAAGUGGAUGGUGAAAUCCCUCGGCUUAACCGAGGAACGGCCGUCCAAACUGCUUCGCUUGAGACCGGGAGAGGUGAGUGGAAUUCCCAGUGUAGCGGUGAAAUGCGUAGAUAUUGGGAGGAACACCAGUGGCGAAGGCGGCUCACUGGACCGGUACUGGACGCUGAAGCGCGAAAGCGUGGGGAGCGAACGGG